UAAAGUUGAUUAAAAUUUUUACUUACAAUAAGAAACACCUGUGGGCAGCUUUAU
rnacentral:tRNA from 1 species